rnacentral:rRNA from 1 species
UACGUAGGGAGCAAGCGUUGUUCGGAUUUACUGGGCGUAAAGAGCGUGUAGGCGGCCAGAUAAGUCCGCUGUGAAAUCUCGAGGCUCAACUUCGAGCUGUCGGUGGAAACUGUCUGGCUAGAGUCCGGAAGAGGAGAAUGGAAUUCCUGGUGUAGCGGUGAAAUGCGCAGAUAUCAGGAAGAACACCCGUGGCGAAGGCGGUUCUCUGGGACGGUACUGACGCUGAGACGCGAAAGCGUGGGGAGCGAACAGG